ACCGUUUCUAUUGAAGUUACUAACCUAGAAAACCGAUAUAUAAACAUAUGAUAUUGAUUAACUUAAUAAUAUAUCGAACUAGAGAACUAUUUUUGGCAAUGGGAUCAAUUAUAGUCGAUGAUUUGAAGAUUAAAAACAGGAUUCAAAUCGAGAACAUCCUCUUCAUAUUUCUUUUUCUCUGGAAAACAUUAGAUUGCAACGUUUUGUUGAACAAAAAAACUGAAAACAACGAUACAAAGAAUGCGUUGAAAUCGUUUGUUGAGGUUGUAGGAAUAAAUUUAGAAAACUGGGGAUUUGUUUACAUCCCAUUGUUCGAAAGUACUUUGGAUUUGUUGCGUACUUGCUAUUUAAUGGACUUUAAGUAACUCGAUAUAAAAGGAUUAAUUGCAUUCUCAUUUUUGUGUACUAAAUAUCGAGAAGUAAUAUUUAGUUAAAUUCUUUAUUGAAAAAUAAGUCUUGAAGGAAAUUAUAGAUAUAUAAAAGAGAUGAGACAUUUAAUAACAAAAUAAACGAAGGAUAUAACAGGAUAGAACUUCACGAGACACAAUAAUGAAGACAACUAUAACUUGAGCAUCAGAUAUAAUGAUGCUAUUAAAAAAAAACUAAUAAAAUGUAAGAAUAUUGGAAAACAAGAAGAGGAGAAUCCUGGGACACAUUAAAAUUCAUGAUUUACAAAAUAAAGAACCAGAUAAAAGAAGAAGACAUAGUAAAGUACGUAAAAGCAAAGAAACUAAAGUGUUUUCCGCAUAUAUAAAGAAAAAGCGACUUAAAAAACGGAUACCAACAGAAAAUGGACCAAACAUAGUAAGACUUGAAAGUUCUGGAAGCUGCGAAUUGGAAGGAAAUAGUGGGAUGCAGAAAAAAGCGAUAAAAGUACACGUAUAACAGUGAUAAGUGAAAAUUAAAUUCAUACUAAUACAUUAUGUAAAACAGAUCUGAUACUCCUUUCAAUUUUGAUAGUUAUUUAGACAAAAACUAAUCUCAAAUUUUAUUUAUUAUCAAGCUAAAGGAAAGUGGUCGAUGGGUAAUUGCUUUUGGAGUCUGAAACAAUCAGCUGAACUUCGUAUUCUUUUGAUCAUAAUCCAAGCCUAUGACAACUCGGCAGAUAUUUUUCGAUAUGGUUGCCAUUUCACAUCCAGAUUUGAAAUAGGUGUUGAAUCAGGAUGGCGUGGAGGUCGACUUAAUCAUUUUUCCUGGAGAUUAGCUUGCCAGGUUAAAGUUCAAGAUCUAUUGGACGUGUGUGAUGCUGCUCCGUUCUGCUGGAACCAAUUUUUUUUGUUUUGCAGUCGAAUUAAUAUGUUGGUGUUUGUGUUUUAGAGCUUAAUCUGAAAACAAUAAGUUAAUAAACGUUUAUAAGCUCUCAGUCAUCUGGUUUACUAAAUCAAGCCUCUGGCUAGCACCCCGAGGAUUCAAUUAUUACAUUAAUUGAAGCCUCUUUCUACGUUUUCCUUUUUAGACCGUUCUAGAAGAUCUUGGUCGCUUGGAUUUUUGUUUAUAAAGAUUUGUGCGAUCUCUUCACUCUUCUCGGUCCAUUUUCCAAUCAGUUAAAUAUCUGGUGGACGAUUUAAGUUACGUUUUUUACGCUCUACAGUCUCAAGAGACAAGCUACGUAUUUAUAUAUCUCAAAUGCCCCUCCGAAUUGCGCUCAUUCAAUAAUCAAUAUAGAAGUAUAUUGCUCUGAUGAGACGUAAUAACUUUGAAACUAGUCAGUGGCUACAAAGCUAUAAGUGAGGAAAAAAAUUUUAAUAAUUUGAAAAGUUAUACAACUACUUUUGGGACGUACUGUAUAUAUGGUAUGGUUGGGUUAGGUAUGCCACAAAAUUUCUUAUCUAACAAGAGACAGAAAAGAUGGGGGCUAGAAGAGGAAUUACAGGGACAGAGAGAUAAUGCAAGAAUGUGUUUGAGGGUGAAAUCAGUGUCGUUUUAAGGGUUUGUCGAGCAUAUUUGGAAUACUCAUACCUCCCCUAUUGUUACUUACUAUUUUUAUUACAACAUUCUUUAAGACGUCUUUAAUUUUUCUUAACAAAAAAGAGAAAUAACAAAAGAAAUAGCAGGAAAUGUGUUUGUUUUCGUGAGCAUUGUAUAAAAGAGACCCUUUUUGAUAUAUUAAUAUUCAUAAAAGGAAAAUCCCCCAUACGGGGAUUUUUAUUCAUCAUUCAUCCCUUCCGUACCUUUUUUCUUAAUGAAUAUACCCCAAAAAAGAAACGACUCCCCUAUCAAUCAGUGAUUAAUACUGACUCGUCUAAAGGAGGUUCCUACUUUACCGGUGCGGUGUAUAUUAGAUGGUCUGUUGUGAGUUACGGCUCGAAGGACCAAAAAAUACCGUUCUAAACACUUGUAGCGAGUGGAUUUUUUUAUUUCGCUAGAUCUCGUUACACCUUGCAGAAAAUAAUAUUAAUUUACAUCGAGAAACUCGAUAUAUCUCGAAACAAUCGUGUAAUAUACACCGAGUUUCAAGAAAA